GAUGAACGCUGACAGAAUGCUUAACACAUGCAAGUCUACUUGAAUUUGGGUUUUUUAACUUAGAUUUGGGUGGCGGACGGGUGAGUAACGCGUAAAGAACUUGCCUCACAGCUAGGGACAACAUUUGGAAACGAAUGCUAAUACCUGAUAUUAUGAUUAUAAGGCAUCUUAGAAUUAUGAAAGCUAUAUGCGCUGUGAGAGAGCUUUGCGUCCCAUUAGCUAGUUGGAGAGGUAACGGCUCACCAAGGCGAUGAUGGGUAGCCGGCCUGAGAGGGUGAACGGCCACAAGGGGACUGAGACACGGCCCUUACUCCUACGGGAGGCAGCAGUGGGGAAUAUUGGACAAUGGACCAAGAGUCUGAUCCAGCAAUUCUGUGUGCACGAUGACGUUUUUCGGAAUGUAAAGUGCUUUCAGUUGGGAAGAAAAAAAUGACGGUACAACAGAAGAAGUGACGGCUGAAUACGUG
rnacentral:rRNA from 1 species